GGGGGUGUAGCUCAGUUGGUAGAGCGCUUGAAUGGCAUUCAAGAGGUCAGGGGUUCGAUUCCCCUCACCUCCA
rnacentral:tRNA from 1 species